GGGGGGGCUACGCAGCGCUCAGCCACGAGGACGUACCAGGAAGAGACACGGGUGGGUUGCCGUCACCCCGUCCGCCCUCCCUACGGAUGCCCCUCUGCUGCCAAGCUGGAAUCAAAGCGAUGUAAGAAGGAACCACACACUACAAAAGAGGACACACACACUACGGAAGAGAAACAGCUCAGAUAUGCAGUCACCUGUCUGUGCCACCGUUCUGUGGCAAAGCAAGAGGAGAGAUCUGAUGUGAGGACGGCCCUGAAGAGGCUCCAUUUCUCUGUGCAUCCGAUCCUUCCUCAGAGCAGAACAGCUGGGUGAAAUCCCUGCAGGUCUUCCACCAAGAGAACCCAAGGACGCUCCCAAGUUCUUCCUGCAUCUUAAACUCACGGUGCACGAUGAAGGGAAAGAGCAAAGCUCCAACAAGCCAGGUGCUGUCCCUCCCAGCUGAUCCCAGCAGCAGCUUUAAGAGACCCAUAAUGAAGUACCUCUCCAUAAAAGUCGUGUUCUAUCCCUCCUUCUAUCAGGUUUUAAUUAGCUACUGGUGAACUGGGUUUAUCAGUAAUGCCAGCCUACAGCUUCAGCUCUGUUUAAAUGCAUUAAACGAAGUUAGCUAGCUGCCCAUCAGAACUCCUCAUCCACCUUUUUGCUAAUGGUGACCCAACCAACGUUAUUUUAGCUUGCAAAGUUGAGAGCAGCCCCGAGCACCGCUCAGCCAGGUGGCAAAUGCCAAGCAUCCCUGUUUGGAAGCUGCUGCAACGCCAAGGAAAGCAGCACGGCGUUGCUGAGCUCCAGCUGCCCACAGGACAGCACAGAACAGCUCUGCUAAGGACACGACCACAGAUAAAGGAGGUGCAAACCUCCCUGCCAGCUCUUCUCCAUCACCAAUGAAGUACUGUGUGAAACCCAACAGUCCAUCUUUGUGCAGCAACCAGAAGUACUCCAGCAGCACUGAAUGCCAGACUUCAAUGGAGAACCAGCCUCACUCAACCCCUUCCUGGCCGCCUCCAAGGCAGCAUCUCCCCCUCUGGUGUCUUGGCAAUUGCCCUCAGCCUCUCUCACACACCUGCAGCCUCAGCCAUGGGGCACAUCUAUCACAUCCCACGUGGUGAGGGUUCUCCAUGGGAGAGAGAACAUCCCUCGUGUUGUUUUCAAUUGAAAUAGCUCCUUCCUUUUAAGCUUGCCCUUGGAAGGCCCCACAGAGCUAAAUCUGAAACCAAGAAAUCAUUUCACAGCCACAACUCCAGGAGCCUCACGCUGCACAUCUGCCACCGUUUCCAAACUCCCACAGAUCUGAACACAGCAAUCCCCCUCCCACCAUUCCAAAACCCCAUCAGAGAGGUUUCCUACAGCUCGACAGUGGGGCAGUUUCAACCCCAAUGAGUUUAAUUACGUUUGGAACUCCUCCACACGGGGACAUGCUGGUGUGUUAAGCCUCAGGUGAAGCCAUCAGAGCAGCACUGGGGCUGACCAGCACCUUCUGGAAGAACCGAGCAGCGCUGGAAGGUGUCCUUUUUCUCCUAUUGGAAUCCAUAGAACAGAACAAAUAGCAGCAAACCCAUUGGUGGGCAUCAGCUUAGCCUUGCAUGCUGCUGCAGCAGCAGUAAUCCAGGCUGCCCUGUCAGAUGAGCCAGCACUGUGUUAGUAUUUGGGGUUUAAGGGAUAAUCACGCUAAGCAGAGGUGCCUCUAAGUGCCAACUGCACUUCCCUUCUCCAUUAAGGUCCCAAACACAUCUGUAAAUCCAGAUGGGAGGAUGCAAGUCACUGACAGCAGGCUUUAAUUCUGACAAGACUGGAGGAAGCGACUCAAUGCCAAAGUUGGGAACUGGUCCCAUAGAGAAGCCCUCUGUUCUACACAGCACACCUCCCCUUCACUGCCACUGCAUCACUGACCCCACAACCCCGAGGCGUCACUCAGGGCACAGAGCACCCCAGUACUGAAGCACCCCAUGAGCCAGGCAUUUUGCUCACAUUCUCCCCUCUUCCCUGCCUCUCAGCGUGCAAAGCAUCCCCACGUGCACAACGCAUUUGUACAGCACAGAAAGCAACGAGGGAGAAAGGAAUGUUGUGGUGAAGAAGCCGCAGAGGACACUGGAAGUUUCGCUUCCAGCAGCCCAUCAGCCAUAGGUGAUGAUGGAUGGAGCCACUCCGAGCUGAAGCUGCUGCAUCACAAACAGGGCUGGCAUUUACCUGAGCACUGCUUUCAGCAAACCAGGCACGUGAAUCCUGCAGCUUUGGGGCGACUCGAUCAAUUUGCUGCAAGCCUGCAGGUUGUCUGAAGGAGGCGUCUGCUUUUGUUAGAGAACACCUACAGCUGCACCAGCCAAACAUCCACGGCUAUGCAGAAAGCCAAGCAAAGAAUAUUACUCUUGAACAGGAAGCUGAGACACGUUGUAAUGACAGGUUUAUGGUGCUAGGCUUAAGGGGUCAGCCCAGACACGACACAAAACAAUUCCGCUGGCUCAAAAUAGCACCAGUUCCAGCAAGGCUGGGAGCCUGAGCCCAACCUGCAGGCUGCACGUGGUGGGCUUUCAGCAGUGCUCACAACACCAGCCCUGGGCACCUCCACCAUCUCCACCCCAAAGCCAGGGAGCCGCUUUCCAAACAGCUCCUGAACAACUGAGGAAGGCAGCGCGACUGUGGAUCCCAAAUCAAUUUAGCACAACCCAGGCAGAGCCUCCCUGGCAUGCAAUGCAGCUCCACCAGUUACUACAGAAGAUCUCAGAUGCUGAAGAUGGGAACUUGCAGGUGGAACAAGACUAAGCUCUGUUCCCAAAACCACAUCUGUUGAACAAAAGCUUUUUCUGCCCCAGGAGCUAAUUGCAGUUCAGAAGGCAUAAUAUCAGCCACUCCGUGUUACUGUGUUAACAGCAUCAAUUCAUGCCACAUUAGAACACUUUCUUGGCACAAUUUAUUUUUCUGACCCAAACAAAUAAGCCAUUAGCAAGUCAUUAACAAUUUUCUACCCUAAAUUGUCAGUUUAACAGCCCUGUAAAAACAUUUUUUAGUUUAUAAACAAAAAGUGUGCAUGCUGUUGAUAUUAAAACUGCAAUUACUCUUUCAGGAGUACCAGCUGUUUUGUUGCAAAGCAUUCUCCACACACUGAUCCGUACAGUACAAGAGCUCAGCUGAAGGCAGUAGGUGGCUGUUUGGUGCCACUCAGGGCUCGGUAACAGCAGACUGCUGCAAUCCUUGUACACUCCCCAAGGCAAGACUGGAGCCCUUGUGAGAGUUUGGUUCAGACAGAGAGCAGGACAGCAUUGUACAUUCGUCUCUAAGUUGAAGUGAACUGAACUGGUGUAAUUCAGGCUCCAUUCCAGGCUACUCCUUGAAUAAUGCCUCUCAGCUUUUUCUUAUGCGUGGUUUUUCAUGUCAGCAAUCGCUGGCACUGCUCUUGGCCUGGCUACCCCACAUCGAUGAAAGCAGGGGGAACAAGUACAGGAACAGAAUAGGAUCUGAAAAUGAACAGCUUCUUGCCAAAGCAGCAAGGAUACCAUUCCCCCUUGUCCCAAGCUCCAUGGAUAUUUCCAUCAGAUUUUCAUAUGUUAAGUGCUUCUUGGGAAGAGAGAAAACUCUGAACAGUGAGUAUUUAUUAGAAUAUUUUUUUGUUAAAUAAAGAGGAAAAAAAAAAGAGUACUGCAGAUUUAAUUUCACAUCUUGGCUAUGUUCUGACAAAAGAGAAGUUACUGAAUUCAGCAACUGCUUCUUGUCCCAAGCCAGGGAUUAAUUAAUGCCCCUCCCAAAAGUUGUACCUGUCCCAACCCACCCCCAGCCCCAACCCUUCCCAUUUUAUUUCCCAACUAGACAACACUGUUGGCAAAUCAAGACAGCAUGAAACUUACAUCAAUAAAAACAGAACAACAACAAAAAAAAAAGUGAAGCGUGCCAACGCAUCAGGGAAGCCGUCCUACCAACGGUGCGCUCCUCCAACCAGCAACUCAGCUCAGGAGUCAGCUGUACCUUUCAUGGAGGACAGCUUAAACAUUCUGAAUGUGCUCCAUGGUGCAACUGCAAGUGCUGCGGAACCACAGGACAAGAGAUUGAACACCUGAAUUUUUCCCCCUGGGCUUCUUCUCAGGGAUAUUCGUGGUCAUCCAGCCAAGGGUCGGCGCAGCAACACUCACUAAGUACAAUCCGAUGCUUCAGCACAAGUUAGGAUAUCCAGUUCAGCACGGUAUAAGGCAUGUGGACAAGAAGAGACAUCAGCGGAAUGCAGCAGGAUCAGCAGAACAGCAUUGGUGAUUGACACUCCAGUUUGUCAGACUUUGAGCCCCCUCUGAAUCCCCACCACAGACGUUUGUUUCCUACCGUAGCGUUUCUGAGGCUAUUUAUUUUUGGCCAAGCCCUAAAAGACCAACUCUUUUUUUUUUUGUUUCAUUUU